AAUUUUUCUAUUAAAUAAUAAAUAUUUAGUUAAUGAGCUUGAAUAAGCAUAU
rnacentral:tRNA from 1 species